UGGAGGGCAAGUCUGGUGCCAGCAGCCGCGGUAAUUCCAGCUCCAAUAGCGUAUAUUAAAGUUGUUGCAGUUAAAAAGCUCGUAGUUGAAUUUCGGGAUCAAUAUGUCGGUCGUGCCUUCGGUACGUACUGGUAUCAUUGGUCUCUCCUUUCUGACGAACCAUGAUGUCAUUAAUUUGGUGUUAUGGGGAGUUAGGACUGUUACUUUGAAAAAAUUAGAGUGUUUAAAGCAGGCUUUAGCUUGAAUACAUUAGCAUGGAAUAAUGAAAUAGGACGUUCGAACCUAUUUUGUUGGUUUCUAGGAUCAACGUAAUGAUUAAUAGGGAUAGUUGGGGGCAUUAGUAUUCAAUUGUCAGAGGUGAAAUUCUUGGAUUUAUUGAAGACUAACUACUGCGAAAGCAUUUGCCAAGGAUGUUUUCAUUAAUCAAGAACGAAAGUUAGGGGAUCGAAGACGAUCAGAUACCGUCGUAGUCUUAACCAUAAACUAUGCCGACUAGGGAUCGGAUGAUGUUAAUUUUUUAAUGACUCAUUCGGCGCCUUACGGGAAAC
rnacentral:rRNA from 1 species